GUACGCGUGGGUAAUCUGCCUUAGAGUGGGGGAUAACUAGUCGAAAGAUUAGCUAAUACCGCAUAAGACCACAAGAACUGCGGUUCAAGGGGUCAAAGGUUUUUCGCUCUAAGAUGAGUCCGCGUAAGAUUAGCUAGUUGGUGAGGUAAUGGCUCACCAAGGCGACGAUCUUUAACUGGUCUGAGAGGAUGAUCAGUCACACUGGAACUGAGACACGGUCCAGACUCCUACGGGAGGCAGCAGUAGGGAAUAUUGCACAAUGGAGGAAACUCUGAUGCAGCGACGCCGCGUGAGUGAUGAAGGCCUUCGGGUCGUAAAGCUCUGUCGCAGGGGAAUAACACAAUGAAUGUACCCUGUAAGAAAGGAUCGGCUAACUUCGUGCCAGCAGCCGCGGUAAGACGAGGGAUCCUAGCGUUGUUCGGAAUUAUUGGGCGUAAAGCGGAUGUAGGUGGCUUUGUAAGUCAGAUGUGAAAGCCCAGGGCUCAACCCUGGAAGUGCAUUUGAUACUGCGAAGCUUGAGUGUCGGAGAGGUUACUAGAAUUGUUGGUGUAGUGGUGAAAUACGUAGAUAUCAACAGGAAUACCGGAGGCGAAGGCGGGUAACUGGCCGAACACUGACACUGAGAUCCGAAAGCGUGGGGAUCAAACAGGAUUAGAUACCCUGGUAGUCCACGCCGUAAACGAUGGAUACUUGUUGUUAG
rnacentral:rRNA from 1 species